rnacentral:rRNA from 1 species
GACGAACGCUGGCGGCGUGCCUAAUACAUGCAAGUAGAACGCUGAAGGAGGAGCUUGCUUCUCCGGAUGAGUUGCGAACGGGUGAGUAACGCGUAGGUAACCUGCCUGGUAGCGGGGGAUAACUAUUGGAAACGAUAGCUAAUACCGCAUAACAGUAGAUGUUGCAUGACAUUUGCUUAAAAGGUGCAAUUGCAUCACCACCAGAUGGACCUGCGUUGUAUUAGCUAGUUGGUGAGGUAACGGCUCACCAAGGCGACGAUACAUAGCCGACCUGAGAGGGUGAUCGGCCACACUGGGACUGAGACACGGCCCAGACUCCUACGGGAGGCAGCAGUAGGGAAUCUUCGGCAAUGGACGGAAGUCUGACCGAGCAACGCCGCGUGAGUGAAGAAGGUUUUCGGAUCGUAAAGCUCUGUUGUAAGAGAAGAACGAGUGUGAGAGUGGAAAGUUCACACUGUGACGGUAUCUUACCAGAAAGGGACGGCUAACUACGUG